GUCCAGAUGUCAGCUGUUGGCCUGGACGUGGAUUACAGAAAGUCUCCUGUGGGCCACAUGUGGUCCAGAUACAGGAAGACUUCCUUAUGGUAGUUUUCUUGGGGGCCACCUGCGGUGGUCAUGUAACUGA